UCUCACUUUCUUUAAACAAAACCUAAAACCUAAUCCUAUUUUCAACAACAACAAAGCAGCCGCCUCUCUCCUCCCCAUACUCUUUCUCUCUCACCACAACAGACACAUCACUGUCACCGGUGAACCUCCACGACGACCACCCAACACCAGCGCCGCUCCUCUCUCCCUUCUCUCUUUCUCUUUCUCUUUAAAACCACAAGAAAACCCAUGCUCCGGCAAAUCGUGCGCCACUAGCAGCCCUUGUUGUGAGCCCAAACGAAUCCAUCUCCGACCAAGCCCUGCACCACAAGCAGCCCUCAAACAACACUACCGCCGCCUCUCCACGUAGACGCCACCCUCCAUCAGAAAAGUGGAUAACUCCAUCGCUGCCCCAUCCGCCGACGGAAAAAGAAACAGCAACAGGAUCUGCUAGCCCAAAGGACCACCACUGGUCCGCUUCUCCACCUCCAUAAUUUCCACUCAUCACCAGCAAAACCCGCGAAUCCAUCCAGGUUUUCAUUUGAGAUUAGCUAAGUCGAUAGUCUUCUUUGACUGUUCUAUUCUAUCGAGUGGUUUGAUAUCGAGAUUAGCUAAAUAUUUUGCUAUUUCCUAAAGCAUUUUGUCUUCAAAUCAUACCCUUGUGAUGCUUCAAUAUUUCUUUACUUGUACACUUGCAGCAGCUUGAUCGAAAUGAGUUUUUCAGGGUUUGUCGCUUAUUUUACUUGUGUUAGAUAUAAUCUUAAUGACAAUGCUGACUUUUCAUGUGUUUUGGUAUAGUAGAACUGGAGUAUUUAAUGAGGCUUCCAUCAUCUUUGUUAUGGUUGAAUAUGGUUGUUGCUUUUGCUUAUUUAUUUUUAUAAAAUAUUGUUGAA